rnacentral:rRNA from 1 species
AUUGAACGCUGGCGGCAUGCCUUACACAUGCAAGUCGAACGGCAGCACGGGGGCAACCCUGGUGGCGAGUGGCGAACGGGUGAGUAAUGCAUCGGAACGUGUCCUCUUGUGGGGGAUAACCAGUCGAAAGACUGGCUAAUACCGCAUGAGAUCGCAAGAUGAAAGCAGGGGACUCCGAGGGUAACUUCGGGCCUUGCGCGAGAGGAGCGGCCGAUGCCCGAUUAGCUAGUUGGUGGGGUAAAGCCUACCAAGGCGACGAUCGGUAGCUGGUCUGAGAGGACGACCAGCCACACUGGGACUGAGACACGGCCCAGACUCCUACGGGAGGCAGCAGUGGGAAUUUUGGACAAUGGGGCAACCCUGAUCCAGCCAUGCCGCGUGUGUGAUGAAGGCCUUCGGUU